AAUCAAGCCUGGGCAAUGGCGGGCACCCCUCCCCCAGCCUCGCUGCCGCCUUGCAGUUUGAUCUCAGACUGCUGUGCUAGCAAUCAGCGAGACUCCGUGGGCGUAGGACCCUCGGAGCCAGGUGCGGGAUAUAAUCUUGUGGUGCGCAGUUUUUUAAGCUGGUCCGAAAUGCGCAAUAUUCGGGUGUGAGUGACCUGAUUUUCCAGGAGGGGGAGGAGCCAAGAUGGCCGAAUAGGAACAGCUCCGGUCUACAGCUCCCAGCCUGUAGAGCGAUGCAGAAGAUGGGUGAUUUCUGCAUUUCCAUCUGAGUGAACAUAGAUUCCUUCAGUAAAUAUUGGGAAAACAUUUGCUUCAGGCCCAUUACUGGGUACCACUUUGAUACAGAGGACACAUCAAGGAACAAGACAGAUAGGACCUCUGCCUCUGGUAAGUUUGCAUUCCAGAGGGAGGAGAAGACAAUGAGCAAGCAAGCCAUCAAGACCACGUCAGAUGAGACGAAUAAAGUCAGAUAGCUUCCAAGGAGUGGAUGCUUAUGGAGAGAUCAC
rnacentral:antisense_RNA from 1 species